UGAUCCAGCCAUGCCCGCGUGAGUGAUGAAGGUCUUAGGAUUGUAAAGCUCUGUUCACCGAUGAAGAUCAUGACGGUAGUCAGAGAAGAAGCCCCUGAUAACUUCGUGCCAGCAGUCGCGGUAUUACUACGGGCGCUAGCGUUGUUCGGACUUACUGGACGUAAAGCGCACGUAAGCUGAUAUUUGUGUCACGCGUGAAAUCCCGCAGCUCAGCUGCAGAACUGCCUUUGAUACUGGGUAUCUCAAGUAUGGAAGAGGUGAGUGGAAUUCCGAGUGUAGAAGUGAAAUUCAUAUAUAUGCGGAGGAACACCAUGGGCGAAGGCGGCUCACAGGUCCAUUACUGACGCUGACGUGCUAAAGCGUGACUGAGCAAACAGGAUUAAAUACCCUGGUAGUCCACGCCAUAAACGAUGAAGGUUAUCCGUCGGGCAGCUUGCUGUUCGGUGGCGCAGCUAACGCAUUAAACAUUCCGCCUGGGGAGUACGGUCGCAAG
rnacentral:rRNA from 1 species